AAUUAGGAGCUGGAAACGGCAUCCUUUUCGGGUCCCGCUUCGGUGGGGCUGUCUGAAAACCCUUGAAUAUAUAACCGCGUUGCUUUGGCGGGCCGCCUCUCGAGGCGUUGGCUCAACGGCUAACCGUGCCCGCCAGAGGCCAAAAACUCUAUUGUCUUUGACGUCUGAGUACUAUAUAAUAGUUA
rnacentral:misc_RNA from 1 species